UGGUAAUUUGUGCCUUGGCUGGUUC
rnacentral:piRNA from 1 species